UGGAGGGGGAGGUUAGGGGCUGGGGCAGGGGGACCUCUGAAAGGGCAGUGCUUUUUCUUGGGGCCCGCAGUGAUGACUGAUGAGGUUUAUACAUUUUUGCCUUUGUUUAAAAGCCACCUGUUUGACAGCGUUUUGGUGGAACGAAGGCCUCACAUGCUGUUCCUGUGCGUAAGGACUGUGUGUCUGUGUAAUACAAAUCUCGGAAAGAUUGAUGGAACAGCAGUCACGACUGCAGCACAGGGACAGAGGAAGUGUAGUAGAUCAGUCGUCUGAAGUUCAGUUAAGCGUGUGAAACUGUGCCAUGUGAGGUAUUAUUAGUUAAGCUUCUGACGCUACGGUUUGGUGCAACACCUGUAUGUGAACAGGCUCUGAAGAGGAAAACAAAGAGCAGCACUGAAUGGAGGGCUGGGAGUUCCCCCAGAGGAGGUCAUGUUCAGUAUUUGCAUUAAUGAUUUUUGGCACAGGAGGCGGUGGUGUGCAAGUCGGGUUUGUGAUGAUACAAAGCCAGGUGUGGCCAAUACACAGGGAGAUCAAAAGACCAUCCAGGAAGACCAUGAUCACCCUCAGAACAGGAGUGAACUGGAUGGGAUGGAACCUAGUGGAUGAAUGGAAAGUCAUUCAGUUGGGACAGUAACAGAAAUCUUUAUUAUAAGCUGGGAAAGCAUUAUUUGACAAUGACAGAGGAGGGAAGUGCUUAGAUGUGUACUAAUAAAUCACGGGAUAAUUCAGGAUGCAAGGCUAUUACUGUGGGAAAAAAAAAGGCAAAUGUAACUCUGGGAAGACUCAGGGAAAGGACUCCUGGUAGAGAGAGAACUGCACAAGGCAAUGGUGAACCCUUUUCCUGCUUCACCACAAGUGAACUCAGAGUAAAUAAGGACAGAGGGAGCAACUACGCUCCUGAGAAAUCUCCCAGUUUUCCUAGGGGAGAUGGAGAGCCUGUUUUGGUUAGAGAGAAAGCAAGCAUGGCUUCUUAGCUUGGUGGAGUGAAGGUUGAGAAGAGAUGCAAUAGCUCCCUAUAUACAUAUUAAGAACAAGCAAGAGCUAAAAGAGCUGUUUAAGAUUUCAAGUUGCCAUGAGAAUGACUGGGCAUAGAGGAGCUGGGAGUGGUUCUUUCCUAACCAUGAAACAAGAGAAUUAAGAGAAUUAGCAGCAGUGGGGGCUGGAAAAUGAGCUCUGGGCAAGGGACGUUGCCAGUGAAGCACCGCUUCUUGCUGCCGCCGUGGUUUCUGUGCAGGUUUUUGGGGAGAAAUGCUGCUGACUUGCAGAAAUGUGGAGGAUGUAACAAAACUGAGAAACCUCUGACUUUGCAACCUGCUCUUUUCCUUGAAUGCAUUCUUUGUUGACUUCACUCUCUCUUAUUUAAUUUCCCUGUAUUUUAUGGCAUUGCAACAGACUUGAUAAGACUAGCAUGCUCUGAAGCUGAGCCAUUGCCCCACUUGUAAUUGACUGCAGAUGGUGAGCUUACCUUCCUUGUGGGUUGGCCUCUGAAACGUUUUCUCAGUCUUAAAAUACUCCACUUGGUUUCUCGUGAAGGGACAGAGGGUGUUUUGUGCUUCCUUGUGGAAUCAAGAAGAAAGGAGAGGUGGUUCUGAGGCUGCUGCAUUUGCAUAGUCCUGAAAGGUGGCUUUAACCCAUGAUAAAUUUUGGUCUGAUAACUGUGACCAAACGCUCAUACAUCAGGCUCACUGCCACCCCCUGGGAUGGACAGCUCUAACCGUGCGUGUGCCUGCAGAGCGGCGCUGCUGCUGCUGCCACUGAAAAGAACAAGCAGGGAAAGACCCAAAGCAAAGGAAAUCCCAGCCUGCACCCCAAACAACAAGACGGGCUCUGGAGCCUUCAUUAAUUCAUCAGACAAGCUCAGACAAGCUGCCCGUUUGUUCACACAAGCAGGAGCUGGACCGAGCGCCUGCUCGAUGCCCGCAGCAGAGCAGCGAGGGCAGAGCCCCUCUGCCAGGUCACAGGAGCAGCAGUGGUGUGACGCGCGGUGACAUAAAGCUGGAGGUGGCAGAGCAUGAUCCAGGCUGCUCUGCCCCUGGCUGGAGGUGCAGGUUCACAGGGAAAUAGCUGGACUUUGCUGCUUGUGAUGCUGAGGUGUAGCUUCAGGGAUUAGGGCAGGAGCUUUGUGAACGUAAGCAAUCCUCCCUGGAGGAUUAGGAAAUGAGGCAGUAACGGCUCAGUGUGCAUGGGAAGAGAGUCAAAGCAGCCAGAAGGGACAGUGAGCAGCUUGCCAGGACAGCCGAAGCACAUCCAGUAUCCAAGGGCAGAAAAAAGGCUUCUUUGCCACAGUACUAUCAGGAAUAAAUCACUGGUGUU